rnacentral:rRNA from 1 species
GGACAUGGGGGAAACCCUUGAUCCARCCCAUCCCGSGUGUAUURAUKAAGGCCUUCGGGUUGUAAARKACUUUUGGCARARAAGAAAAGGUAUUCUCCUAAUACGAGAUACUGCUUGACGGUAUCUGCAGAAUAAGCACCGGCUAACUACGUGCCAGCAGCCCGCGGUAAUACGUAGGGUGCAAGCCGUUAAUCGGAAUUACUGGGCGUAAAGCGUGUGUAGGCGGUUCGGAAAGAAAGAUGUGAAAUCCCAGGGCUCAACCUUGGAACUGCAUUUUUAACUGCCGAGCUAGAGUAUGUCAGAGGGGGGUAGAAUUCCACCGUGUAGCAGUGAAAUGCGUAGAUAUGUGGAGGAAUACCCGAUGGCGAAGGCAGCCCCCUGGGAUAAUACUGACGCUCAGACACGAAAGCGUGGGGAGCAAACAGGAUUAGAUACCCUGGUAGUCCACGCCCUAAACGAUGUCAACUAGCUGUUGGGGCCGUUAGGCCUUAGUAGCGCAGCUAACGCCGUGAAGUUGACCCSCCUGGGGAGUACGGUCGCAAGAUUA